rnacentral:misc_RNA from 1 species
UUUUCCUGAGAAUCGUUAAGGACACCGUAGAAAAUGUGUUUUGCAACUUGGAAAGGUUUAUGAAUAAAAUGGCUAAUAAUAUGCUGAAUUAUCGAUUUCUACAAGUUGUUCGCGUACCAUGUGUGCAUCGUAUGAUCAAGAGCUCAUCAUCUUUUCUUCCAGAAGUAUUAGGAACUCAAUCAGGAUGUUCCAUUGUCAGAUGCAUGCUGAUCAGACUGAAACAUGGAAGUGGCAGGGGAAGCAGGAGAGGACAGCCUAGCAAGAUAGGUAAACAACGUACCCCAGGACCAAGACCUUCAACCACAACAGAGUUAGUGACCGGUGAUGUUGCUGCAAGUGGUAUUGAACGAGCCACUCAUGAGAUUGAUAAUCAGUACUUUGGUGGUAUCCUUGAUCAUCAUCUUUCCGAGGGUGACCUGCAGAGGGUGCCAAAUGGUGAUUCUGUAUCUAAGAUGACACCUGCUGAGGACCUGAAUGAGUUUGACUCGCAAUAUUUUCAAGAACUUGGCAAGAAGGAUGUCAGUCACAAUGACAUUGGUCAUGAGAGAAGUAGGGUACCAACUGCAGUUAGUAAGUCAAGGAAAGCCACACCAGGAAGAACUAUAAGGGGACAUUUUAUGUUUAAUGAAAUUGACUUGAAAUAUUUUGAUGACAUAAGUUCUAGUUUUGUAUAUGAGAAAACAGAGAGGAAUUCAACAAGUGACCCAACUGAUAUUAAUGAAUUUGAUCAGCAGUAUUUUAGAAGAGAACAUGAACAUGAGAGUAAUCGAUCAACUAAGGUGUCAUCGGAAACCCCUAUGCCUGCAAAAAGGUAUAUGGAUACUUCUCUUUCAGAAGAAGAAAUGUACAAACAGCAUUUAUCAAGGCACACACAAAUCAGCCAGGGAGAAGAAGAAGAGUUAGAAAAGAGGAAGAGUAAAUCAUUUAAAGUACAUGAUCGGCCAACGCAGUAUCAAGAUAUUUCAAAGGACGAGUUUGCGGACCAUAGAGAGGUGCAUCUCAUCACCAAUUCGAGCAUAGACGAAGUCCUUCUGGACAGUAUCCCUCCUGAUUUAAAAGGAAAGCUUCUUGCAAACAGGCAAUGGGAGGAGCAGAAGGAAGAGCUAAGGGUCUCCCACCAUAAUGUGGAGGAUCUGGAGGAGAGUGUUGUAUCCGCUCUUAAAGCUGUGAAGAAAAAACGUAACAAGAAACAGAAACAAAGAAGAUCUAGAGAUAUGAAAGUGUUUGGCAGCGAAGACAAGGGUGUUCCAGUAAGUGAGGUCCCCUGCUCAGGUUGCGGUGCUUACUUGCAGUGUCAGGACAACAGCCGCCCAGGAUUUGUGCCUAGUGAAAAAUUCACAGAACUUGACCUUUCAAAACCAGUGAGUAACUCUGUCUGUCAGAGGUGUUGGUACAUCAUUCACCGUCACACGGCAUUGAAUGUGAGUGUUGCUCAGGACAGCUAUUCGGACAUCAUCAAGGCUGUUCGGAAGAACCGUAGUGCCCUUGUGAUCCUGAUGGUUGACCUGCUUGACUUCCCUUGCAGUAUCAUCAAGAACCUCAAAGACCUCAUUGGAUCCAGUCGGCCCAUCAUGAUUGUAGGGAACAAGCUGGAUGUCUUGCCUAAGGAUGAACCGAAGCAGGAGAGGAGGUUGAAAGACCACCUGUUGACUUCAUGUGUGGAGAUGGGAGUCUGUGAUGCAGACAGGGUGAAGCAUGUUGAACUCAUCAGUGCAAAGUCUGGAUAUGGUGUGGAAAAUCUCAUCACUAAAAUCCUGUCCUUGAAACCCAAGAAAGGAGAUGUGUAUCUUCUCGGCACAGCAAAUGUUGGAAAAUCUACCCUAUUCAACCGGUUUCUGGAGUCAGACCUCUGUAAAGCCAAGGCUUCUGCAUUGAUGGGUCGUGCUACCAUAUCCCAGUGGCCUGGUACCACCCUCAAUCUCCUGCGAUUCCCCCUCCUCAACCCAUCCAAGGAAAGAAUGGCCCAGAGGAUGAUCAGGUUGAAGAAGAAUGCAGAGGAGGUGAAGAUAAAGAAGAAAGAGGAAGAGACAGACAGGUUGAGGAGUAAGCUCAAUGAUGAGGACCCUCAGCUCAUGUCAUAUGUGGAAGGUAAUGUUGGGCAGACAUUUAAGCCCAAGUCACAUGAUGAUGAGGAGAACAAAGGAGAAGAAACCUUGCUCCCAGAGGAAGGGGACCCGUUUGGUAUGACCUUGGGUGUUCCAUCUCCUGCGAGAGCUGUAUCCAAGAAGCAGGAAAUCAAAGUGCCAUUCAGUCCCCUGGAGUUUGCAGAAAGCCAAUGGUUUUAUGAUACUCCUGGUGUACUCUAUCAAGAUCAGGUUUUGACAAAGCUGAGCAGUGAGGAGUUGAAGUUGGUUGUCCCUAAGAAAUGUAUUCAACCUCGUUCUUUGGUUCUUAAACCUGGUCAGACAUUCUUCCUAGGGGGUCUAGGAAGGCUAGACUAUCUGCAGGGAAAAGAAUCAGCCUUUUUCACUGUCUUCUCGAGCCAGGCGCUUCCCAUUAAGGUCGUAGACACACAAGAUGCUGAUGCUGUAUAUGCAGAGAAAGCUGGUUUCAAAACAUUUGUGGUUCCUAUUGGAGGUCGCGAGCGCAUGGAGAAUUUUCCAUCAUUGGUUCCAACAGACUUCACACUCACGGGGAUUGGACGACACAUGAGUGUGGCUGACAUCCUAUUCUCUUCAGCAGGAUGGGCAGCAGUCACUUGUAAUCAAGGAAUGGCAGUUCAUCUUCGUGCCUUUACCCCUGGUGGCCUGGGGUGCAUCCUAAGGACACCUGCUCUCCUACCCUAUGGCUUCUCUUUGAAAGGGACGAGAAGAUCCAAAAAUUCUCCAUUCUAUAACGUCAACAAGCAGAAACUAUUAAUGUACAUGAGAUGAUAGAACCGGAUUCUCUCUGUUAUUACUUUUAAUUUGAGAUGUGCAAUGAUGUCAAUGGGUUCUGCUUCCUAGAAUGUCAUCAAGCAGGACUAUCAGUGGACAUAAGAUGUUGGCACCUCGUAGCUAACGUCUUCCUGAUCUGACUAGAACACCUUAUCAAGUACAAGGAUGACACAUCCUAUGUGGCAUUUCUUCAAGAGUUGAAAGACUGUCUAAGGCAGCCCCCUUGUGAAAUGUAAACAUGUAGAAGCUUUCCACAUGCAUGAUAAGGUGACACCCACUCCCUCCUUAACUUCUUAUUCUGUCUCCACUUCAUAUACCAAGGAUCAAAAUCUCUUCAUAUACAUCAGAUGCUAAAGCCUGCUCUAACUUUUACAAGUUAUCCUUGAGAGAAAAUAAUUGUUUUAUGAGUAUCUUCCUGCAAGUCCUGCAUAACAUGUCCCCUCCAUUAUAAUGCCUUGGAAGAAGAAAAAGUGUGCCAUUAAACAAAAGUUCUUGUGAUGACUCGACUGGGAAUUGAACCCAUGACCUCCCAUUCAUGAGGUGGUCACACUACCAGGGAGCCAUCAUGACUGGUAAAAGAUUGUAUGAAGACAAGCUGUUCGUGUACAGUAGAUGAAGGAAAUCCCUCUUUUUGGAAGAAUGCAUUCAAGCAACAUUGAUGAAAGAAUUGCAUAUCUCAACUGAGCUGAGGUAAAGCAAAUUUGGCAUUCUUUCUCACAUGUACUCUCUCUCCUACCCUCGCCCAUCUGUAUAUUCCGCCAUUUUUUUUCUAAUUUUCAGUGACUCUUUCUAUCUCUCUCCUGUUUUUUUUUUGGAAUUGAUUUAUUUUCUUAUCAGCUCCAUUGCAAAUAUAGAUACAAUUUUGCCAACACAAAAUUUAAAAGAGAUGCAGAGAGGGAGAGAGAGAGCAGGAGGAAGGAAGGGAGAGACAGACAGAAGACAAAAAACAACCGUUUCAUAUAGUUACACAGUUUGAAUUAAACUUAUACUUGUCUCUUGCUUGUUUCUUUUUUUUUUAUUUAUAACAGCCUACCCAUUAAAAUGACAACUGCUUUUUGGAGAUUGGCACAGAUUUCUACGCACUUCCCCAAAACAUGAGAACUUAAGAAUGCACAAAGUGAAAAAGGAAUACCUACGUUUGUUAUUGAUAUUACCCCCAUUGAUGUAGAUGAUCUGAAAUGAGACUUUAUAUUCUCAUAAUACUUAUGAUGCAUACUUUAUUAUGCAGUCUAUUUUCCGAUUGCUAUAAAUGAAGAAUUGAAUAAGCAUUUUGAUCGUUUCUGUGUUAAAAUUGUAUUCAAUUGUUCAUUCCUCACACUUUUCUUAAAGCAAAACGAUGAAGAUUUCUUAAAGAUGGAAUUCAGUAUUCUAUUUUAAUGAUGAAACUACAGGUUAGAAAUAUAACAUUUUCUUAGGACC